UACGAAGGGGGCUAGCGUUGCUCGGAAUCACUGGGGCGUAAAGCGCACGUAGGCGGCUUUUUAAGUCAGGGGGUGAAAUCCUGGAGCUCAACUCCAGAACUGCCUUUGAUACUGAGAGCUUGAGUCCGGGAGAGGUGAGUGGAACUGCGAGUGUAGAGGUGAAAUUCGUAGAUAUUCGGCAAGAACACCAGUGGCGAAGGCGGCUCACUGGCCCGGUACUGACGCUGAGGUGCGAAAGCGUGGGGAGCAAACAGG
rnacentral:rRNA from 1 species